AAAGUACUCCCUUCGUCUGUAAUUACUUGUGACAGAAAUGAAUAUAUCUAGACAUAUUUUAAGUUCUAGGUACAUCCAUUUCUAUCCAUGUUUGUGACAAGUAAAUCAGGACGGAGGGAGUAAUUA
rnacentral:pre_miRNA from 1 species